AUGUCGGAAAGAAGCCUCGCCGGUGCGCCGCCGCGUUCGGCGAUAUCGGAGAGCAUGGCAC
rnacentral:sRNA from 1 species